GAACAUAGAUCAGCUGAUAGAACACUUGCCUCGCAUGCACAAGGCCCUGGGUUCAAUUCCCAGCAUCA
rnacentral:tRNA from 1 species